rnacentral:rRNA from 1 species
AUCUUCCGCAAUGGACGAAAGUCUGACGGAGCAACGCCGCGUGAGUGAAGAAGGUUUUCGGAUCGUAAAACUCUGUUGUUAGGGAAGAACGAGUGCCGUUCGAACAGGGCGGCACCUUGACGGUACCUAACCAGAAAGCCACGGCUAACUACGUGCCAGCAGCCGCGGUAAUACGUAGGUGGCAAGCGUUGUCCGGAUUUAUUGGGCGUAAAGCGCGCGCAGGUGGUUUCUUAAGUCUGAUGUGAAAGCCCACGGCUCAACCGUGGAGGGUCAUUGGAAACUGGGGAACUUGAGUGCAGAAGAGGAAAGUGGAAUUCCAAGUGUAGCGGUGAAAUGCGUAGAUAUUUGGAGGAACACCAGUGGCGAAGGCGACUUUCUGGUCUGUAACUGACACUGAGGCGCGAAAGCGUGGGGAGCAAAC